AGAAGGCACAUGCUUAAGCAGCUGAGCCACCCAGGUGCCCCUCCACUCAUUCUUCUUUUACUGAUAAAUUCUUAUUCAGCACCUGAGUCAAUGCUAGAGUGUAAGUCACCUAAAUCAGUGCUGAUCUGUGUCUCCUGUGAGCCAGCCCUGGCCUGGGAACUGUUACUCAGGCCACAGAAAAACACACAGAAGUUGGAAGAAUGCCACACAUCGACAAUCUUGUUGGGGGCACAGACACCUCCAUCCACAGAGAGGAGAACCCACUUUGCUAAACAGUCCAGGACUGGGACAUGACAUGAAGCUUCAACAGUCAUGUGGCCACCUGCCAGACUCUGACUCUGGACAUGUGACAGGCACACUGGGACAGCAUCUGUGCAUUAGGGACAGGGGGUCUGAGCAGUGUCACAGUCAUGUCAUUAAACUGUCAGGAGGCAGAGUGAUAGCAGUCCCAGCUGCAGGGUCCAGUGGCCUCCCUCAGGGGAGUCAGUGGUGUCGAUACCCAGGAGCAGGCGCUGACUGUCUGUGGGCCUCCAUCCAGGGUCCAGUGUAGAUUCUGCUCCCGACUAUGUAGUCUCAAGCCUGUAUUGUGGCUUUCCUGGAAAUAAAGCAAGAUCCCAUAUAUU